rnacentral:rRNA from 1 species
UACGUAGGGGCAAGCGUUGUCCGGAAUCACUGGGCGUAAAGGCGCGUAGGCGGCUCGGUCAGCGUGCGGUGAAAGCCCGGGCUCAACCCGGGUCGGCCGUGCGAACUGCUGGGCUGGAGCACUGUAGAGGCAGGUGGAAUUCCGGGUGUAGCGGUGGAAUGCGUAGAGAUCCGGAAGAACACCGGUGGCGAAGGCGGUCGCUGGGCCAAGCUGACGCGAGGC